rnacentral:lncRNA from 1 species
ACAGCCUCAGCGGACAGGAAAUGAUCAACAGCUUCUCCUCUCGGAUCCACGUGGACUCAAGGAAUCUCCGGGGGGCAGGACAGGUGCAGAGCCGAGUGCAAAGGUGGAAUUCUAUUCCCAAAGCACAUCCCGCGCCCCUUUCCUCUGCAAAGUCCCGGAACCGCGUGACUCCGGAUGAGUUAUCGGGGCUGGAACCGAGGGUUCAGCCCCCUGCGCCUCUGUGUGUCCCGGUCCCUUUCCUCCAAGUAGACAGGAGGCAUCUCCUCAUCGGCUCAGUUCACAUUCCUCCAGGGGCUCAAAGGGGACCCAGUCCCUGUCUUGGGACACCAAGUCAGGCAGACUCCAGGAGAGAGGAAGGAAGAUGAUUCCCGCGCUCAGGUGGGCGGGUCCUGCUCCCUCUGUUGAAGACCUGAAGACAAAGAUUGACCCUCACCCUUCACCUCCCACCUCUUCCUCACCUUGGAAAAGAAAAACAUUCCUGAGAGGGGGGAUUUGUCAGCAGAAGGCUUUGGGACUAGAACUGCAGCAUCAGCUCUUCCUGGUUCCCCAGCGCCCAGGCCUACCCUGCAGAUGUGGGCUUACUGGCCUCCACGAUCAGUGAGCCGGUUCCUUAAAAUCAACCUCUCUCUCUUCCUCUGUCUCUCCCUCUCUCUCUCUCCCUGUCCACAUCCCAUUGGUUCUGUUUCUCUGGGGAAACCUGACUAAUAAGGGGACUCUCAAGGCCCUGGCUGAGGAUGGCAGGCCUGAAGAUUCUCUGAGGCAUUCAGCAUUGAAUGAGCACCAGCUGGGCGUGGAGCUGUGUCAGGCGCUGGGCACAGGACUCAGCCCCGGAACCAAGUGUGGGCCCACAUGGUGUGGGCCUUUGUCUGUCCCUGUCAUGGCUUUGGACACACGCGUGGCCCAGAGGGGACAACGGAUCUGGGUGGCGAGGUGGGAAAGCUCACCCCAGUAUUCCUCUUGGUGGCAGCAGUCCCUUAAGGGGUCGCCUGAGUCGUGAGACCCACAGGUGUGGACCUCCCCCCCCCCUUCCUCCCCUCUCCCCCAGUGACUUUAUCCAGCACCUGCCCUGCCCAGCCUUGCACAGGUUACCCUGUGACCCACUCACAGGGAGAUAGGGCAGCUUCUUUCUGCCCUCAGGAGCCUUGUUCUCAAGGCAGCUCAUCCAAGAGAAUAACAUACAGUAGAUUGCCACACACAUGACUGUGGCUUAGUCCAGGAAAGCCACUUAUAAAAUCCGGAGGUGAAGGAAGAAAAGAUUGAAAUCUCUGUAACAAAUCCAUUUCCCUCCUCCCUCCCUCCCUUCAUCUCCAAAGUAGACCUGCCCCAGGGCCAGGGAUCCUCUCCCUGCAAGGCUAGGUAACAAGCGGAUUUUUGCUUUUGAGCUUCAAGGUCCUGGCUUCUGGUGGUUUAUAGGUGAUCUUUGAGGGUGGUUUUGACGAGAGGCUUGUUAGCUUCUCUACGCUUUUGAAACGCCCACUCUCCCCACAAGAAUCUGGGACUUUGCAGAACCGGUCCAAGGUGAGAGUAGGAUUAAUUGCCAAAUGAGUUUUCUCAUAAGCCUGGGGUCCAAAGUACAUUGGACAGCCAGCAAAUGCUUAUGAGGGGUUUGAACAAGUGAAAUCAAGGCUCAAGGUCAUAGGACUCAAUGGAGAGUGAGGCAGCUGGGAUCUGGGAUGACCGGCAUGGGCCUCAAAGCAGGGGGCUUGGAAAUAGGCCCUGAAGAGGGGGUCGCUUGCGUGGCUAGGAAGGGGUUGGGGCCCACUAGCAUUUCUCAGAAUGCCUAUUUUCUUCGGCAGUGAGAGCUGGAGGGAGGGAUGGGUUUCUCAGCACAGUUCCAGUAUGAGUGGCUGUCACCACAGGGCGCCAUUGCCAAGUCAGAAAGAAACAAAGCUUAACCGCUGCCUCCUGUCCCCCAUGGUCUGUGAAAGUCUCAUACUGUAGUGCGUCUAAUGGUGGCCCCCCAAAAGAUACAUCUACAUUAUAAUUCCUGGGACCCAGAAAUGUGACCUUAUUUGGAAAAAGGGUCUUUGACCUUAUUUGGAAAAAGCGUCUUUACAAAUGUAAGUGACCUUAUUUGGAAAAAGUGUCUUUACAAAUGUAAUUUACAACAUUGAAUGAGCACCUGCUCUGUGUGGAGCUCCCUAUGUGGCCCAGGCUGGUCUUAAGGAUCGUGUGUGUGUGUGUGUGUGUGUGUGUGUGUGUGUGUGAGAGAGAUAGGGUCUCACUGUGUCAUCCAGGCUGGAAGGCAGUGGCACAAUCACGGCUCACUGCAGCCUCAACCUCCCAGGCUCAAGCGAUCCUCUGGCCUCAGCCUCCCGAGUAGCUGGGACUAGGGUUGCACACCACCACUCCUGGUUAAUUUUUUGUGUGUAUUUUUUGUAGAGACGAGGUCUCCCUAAGUUGCCCACGCUGGUCUUGAACUCCUGGGCUCAAGUGACCCACCUGCCUCGGCCUCUCAAAAUGCUGAGAUUAUAGGCAUGAGCCACUGUGCCCGGUUCAAGUUAAAGAUCUUGAGAUGAAAUGAUUCUUGGGAUCAUUAUCUUGGACGGAUUGUAAAUCCCAGGAUGAAUGUCCUUAUAUGAGACGCGCAGAGGAGAGACACAGAGAUGGAAGAGGAGAAGGCCAUGUGAAGGCAGAGGCAGCGACUUGAGAGUUGCAGCCACAAGCCAGGAUGGCCUGGAAGAGGCAGGAGCAGACUCUUCUUAGAGCCUCCAGAGGGAGUGUGGCCCUGCUGACACCUUGAUCUUGGACCCUUGGCCCAUCAGAGCUGUAAGAGAUAAAUCUUGUUGCUGCUCAG